rnacentral:misc_RNA from 1 species
GAUGAAGAACGUAGCGAAAUGCGAUACGUAAUGUGAAUUGCAGAAUUCAGUGAAUCAUCGAGUCUUUGAACGCACAUUGCGCCCCCUGGUAUUCCGGGGGGCAUGCCUGUCCGAGCGUCAUUGCUGCCCUCAAGCACGGCUUGUGUGUUGGGCCUCCGUCCUCCUCCCGGGGGACGGGCCCGAAAGGCAGCGGCGGCACCGCGUCCGGUCCUCGAGCGCAUGGGGCUUCGUCACCCGCUCUUGUAGGCCCGGCCGGCGCUUGCCGACACAUCAAUCUUUUUUCCAGGUUGACCUCGGAUCAGGUAGGGAUACCCGCUGAACUUAAGUAUAUCAAUAAGCGGAGGA